GAUGAACGCUGGCGGCGUGCCUAAUACAUGCAAGUCGAGCGAACAGACGAGGAGCUUGCUCUUCUGACGUUAGCGGCGGACGGGUGAGUAACACGUGGAUAACCUACCUAUAAGACUGGGAUAACUUCGGGAAACCGGAGCUAAUACCGGAUAAUAUAUUGAACCGCAUGGUUCAAUAGUGAAAGACGGUUUUGCUGUCACUUAUAGAUGGAUCCGCGCCGCAUUAGCUAGUUGGUAAGGUAACGGCUUACCAAGGCAACGAUGCGUAGCCGACCUGAGAGGGUGAUCGGCCACACUGGAACUGAGACACGGUCCAGACUCCUACGGGAGGCAGCAGUAGGGAAUCUUCCGCAAUGGGCGAAAGCCUGACGGAGCAACGCCGCGGGAGUGAUGAAGGUCUUCGGAUCGUAAAACUCUGUUAUUAGGGAAGAACAAAUGUGUAAGUAACUAUGCACGUCUUGACGGUACCUAAUCAGAAAGCCACGGCUAACUACGUG
rnacentral:rRNA from 1 species